rnacentral:lncRNA from 1 species
AUGAUUCUUCUUCUCAAGAACCAGUCAAUGAGGAAUCUGCUCCUGGUGCUGAAAAUGCAAAGAUUGAUGAAGCUGACACAGAACAGCAACUGCCUCCUGGGCAGCAGGUGAAGGAGGCUCCAAGCAACCCUUUGGGGAAUAAUGAAAAUGUGAAAAUGGAAAAUGAAGCUUCUGCUCAGGGACCAGUAAAUGAGGAAUCUGCUCCUCGUGCUGAAAAUGUAAAGAUUGAUGAAGCUGACACAGAACAACUGCCUCCAUCUGGUGAGGCCAUGGUAGACAUAUCUAGCGAGCUACUCAGCCAUGACGAAAAGGUGGCUCCAAGCACAGUCCCUUUAGGAAAUGAUGAAGAUGCACAUAUGGAAGAGGCUUCUGCUGCACAGAGAGAGCUAAGCACUGAAGUUGCUCAUGGUAGUGAAAAUGCGAAACUUAGUGAAGCUGGCACGUCUGGUGAGGCCAUGGUAGACGUAUCUAGCGAGCUACUCAGCCAAGAUGAAAAGGUGGCUCCAAGCACUGGCCCUCUAGGAAAUGAUGAAGAUGCACAGAUGGAAGAGGCUGCUGCUGCACAGAGAGAGCUAAGCACUGAAGUUGAUCAUGGUAGUGAAAAUGUGAAACUUGGUGAAGCUGGCACGGAGCUGCAGUUGCCACCAC